AGAGUUUGAUUUUGGCUCAGGAUGAACGCUGGCGGUGUGCCUAAUACAUGCAAGUCGAACGAAGAUGUAGCAAUACGUCUUAGUGGCCCCCGGGUGAGUAACGCGUUGGUGACCUGCCCCAAAGUCUGGGAUAACAGUUCGAAAGGACUGCUAAUACCGGAUGUGGUCAUCGGGAUUAGAAUCCGAUGUCUAAAGGAGUAAUUCGCUUUGGGAGGGGCCUGCGUCCCAUCAGCUAGUUGGUAGGGUAACGGCCUACCAAGGCGACGACGGGUAGGGGACCUGAGAGGGUGACCCCCCACACUGGCACUGAAACACGGGCCAGACACCUACGGGUGGCGGCAGUAGGGAAUCUUGCACAAUGGGCGCAAGCCUGAUGCAGCAACGCCGCGUGCGCGAUGAAGGCCUUCGGGUCGUAAAGCGCUUUUCUGGAGGACGAGCAUGGACGGUACUCCAGGAAGAAGGCUCGGCUAACUACGUGCCAGCAGCCGCGGUAAAACGUAGGAGCCUAGCGUUAUCCGAAUUUACUGGGCGUAAAGCGCGUGCAGGCGGCUUGGUAAGUGGAUUGUGAAAUCUCCCGGUUCAACUGGGAGGGGACGGUCCAGACUGCGAGGCUGGAGGCAGGUAGAGGGAGGUGGAAUUCCCGGUGUAGUGGUGAAAUGCGUAGAGAUCGGGAGGAACACCAGUGGCGAAAGCGGCGUCCUGGGCCUUGACCUGACGGUGAGAUGCGAAAGCUAGGGGAGCGAACGGGAUUAGAAACCCCGGUAGUCCUAGCCGUAAACGAUGUCGACUAGGCGGCGGUGGGGUAAAAGCCAUCGGUGCCGCAGCUAACGCGAUAAGUCGACCGCCUGGGGGAUACGGCCGCAAGGUUAAAACUCAAAGGAAUUGACGGGGGCCCGCACAAGCAGCGGAGCGUGUGGUUUAAUUCGAUGCUACGCGAAGAACCUUACCCGGGUCUGACAUUCAGGUGGUAGCGGAGCGAAAGCCGAGCGACCCUUCGGGGAGCCUGAACAGGUGCUGCAUGCCUGUCGUCAGCUCGUGUCGUGAGAUGUCCGGUUAAGUCCGGUAAGGGGGCGGGACCCUCUCCGUAUGUAACAGGUACCAUACGGGACUGCUGGUAUCAAGCCGGAGGAAGGUGGGGAUGACGUCAAGUCAGCAUGGCCUUGAUAUCCGGGGCGACACACACGCUACAAUGGCCGGUACAAUGGGUAGCAAAACCGCAAGGUGGAGCCAAUCCCCAAAGCCGGUCACAGUUCAGAUUGCAGGCUGCAACCCGCCUGCAUGAAGUCGGAGUUGCUAGUAACCGCAGGACAGCACUACUGCGGUGAAUACGUUCCCGGGCCUUGUACACACCGCCCGUCACGUCAUGGGAGCUGACGACACCUGAAGCCGGUAUCACAACCGCAAGGAAGGAGCCGUCGAAGGUGGGGCUGGUGACUGGGACGAAGUCGUAACAAGGUAGGUGUACCGGAAGGUGCGGCUGGAUCACCUCCU
rnacentral:rRNA from 1 species